UCUUUUUCUGUGUCUGAUUUUCUGUUAAAGCAAUACACUGAGUUUAAACUUUAGUGAUUGUAUUUUUUUUUUGGUACCGGGGAUUGAACUUGGGUCUUUGUGCUUGAGCAGCAGGCGGCGAUACCACUGAGCUAAAUCCCCGGCCCCUCAUUUGGCUAUUUUUCAGUGUGUUUUCACUUUUCAUAGUUUUCUAUCCCUGCAGAUAUUUUCAAAUUACCAUAUAUUUAAAAAUACAUAGUAAGCACAGUUUUAUAAUGUAUACCUGAUAUCUCUAACAUCUGAAGUCUUAACAGGUCUUUUUCAAUUGUCUUUUAUUUAUGCAGAUUUUUGCCCGUGAUGUUUUUGCCAUUAUGCGCUGCAAGCACGUACACAGGAAGAAAAGCUUAGGGUUAGGGUUUCUUUUUUUUUUUGGUACCGGGGAUCGAACUCGGGUCUUUGCGCUUGCCCAGCAGGCGAGGGUUAUGGUUUCUAUUGAGGGAGACCGAAAAAGCAUGGCUUGACAUGCUGUUCUUGGGAGGAAAAAGGUAAUGAGAACUCAUGAAAUCCGACGGAGGUUCAGAAGAAGUGAGGGAGCCUCAGGUAUUUUUGGUAGCCGUUUUCAUCACCUGGGAAGAGCAAGGCUCAGAGGACAACACGAAAACCAUGACUGGCAUCCAUCGCCCUCACCUCCCGUACUCCCUGGCUCAGCAUGGUGAGCGACAAGAGGCUUUAGAGUCUGGAAAGUCUAAGUUCACCUGGGAACAUCUGGCAAGGGUGAUCUUGCUGCAUCCUCACAUGGUGGAAGUGUCUGUAUGGAGGAGAAAGGCAAACCCUGCAAUGUACUGCUUGGAAACUAUGAUCUAUCCUCACCUUAAUGAUGGCCAUACACAGUUUGUAGAAUCUGUCACUUCAGCAAACCAGAUGGAAUCGGAUGACUUGCAAAUGGAUGACACUGGUGGUGAAAUAAAAGUAGUCAGAUGUACUGCCUCUAGGAAGGGGCAGAUACCCCUUGAUUACCUGCUUCAAAUCACCUUUCAUGUUUUAUUGUUGGAAAUACCCGGUUCGAGGAUCACCUCAUUACCUAUUGCAAAAAUGGAAACAGAUGAAGACAUGGCGAAUGCCAUGAUGGUGCAUUCCACCAGCUUCAGGGAGCACGGCUUCGAGACAGCUGUGCUUAACAGCCUGAAAUCAGCAAAGAUUAAACCCACCCUCCUUGUCUCCGCUGCUCCUUAAAUCAGUGCAACCCCUCCAAAUUAAUGUGAAUUGAAACAUGCAUUGCCUUUCAACUUAAUUGAGUACUUAUUAUGUGUGAAUCAGUGCACAAAAUAAGGGAGAGAAAAUGAGUGAGACAAAAACAUGUGGAGCUUGCUUUUAAUGAAUUUACUAUUAGUUUCAGGAUGCAUAUUGUGUUCUUUUGUUUGUAAUUAGGUAUGUCCCUAAGACAAAAAACAAAUGAACAGAAAAGUGUUCUGUAUUUUAAGCCCCAUUAAUGAAAAAUAAAACACAACAACAACAACAACAACAGCAAACCUGUACUGUGAACAACUGGGGCUUUUUAAAAUUCUAUUUUUGUUCUUGUUCUUCAAGUUCUGAGAGAUACGAUCCAUUGUAUUUUGUAUUAUUUUUGUGGUGCUGAGAUAGGAUCCCUUUUAUUGAUCCCAUAAAUAUUUAAUAGGUUUUCGAGACAGUAAUAUAAUAUAGUUUGAGUUAGUUUGCAUUGAAUUCCAGUUUUUUUCCUUUAGGUGUAGGUUGUCUGCUGGAAAAUAUAUUGAUUGUAUAUUCCUUGGGGGUAGGAAGGUGAAUCACACCUGCUGUCUGUGGGGAUCUACUUUCCAAGCCCUGGGCCCCACCAUUUGGAGUGAGUGAUUAGCUAGAAGAGGAGGAUCUUGUGCCAUCUUGGGGGUGACACUCAUGGGCUCAGCAUUGCACAGGGAGGGGGCAAAACACAUCUGGGCAAUGAUUCUGUAUGAAAUAUGACUAAAUAAUUUUUUCAGUAUUCAUUGCAUUGUUCUUUUUGUUCCAUAAAUUGGGUGACUUUGCAGUUUUUCUAAAGAUUUAUUUCUGAGCUGAAAAUAAGUGUAAGUGAUAAUUUUUCCAGUGUUAUGAUAUUGACAUGACUGUAGCCACUAGACAUUUUAUGUAGUAUCUGUGACACAUAUUAGUAUGUAUGAGCCAACAAUAGACAUGUCUUUGUCUUGAGUAGUGUCCAUCUGAAUAGAAAAUGAACCAGCUUUUCUUUUUUGACAUCAUCAACAGACUUCUUAAUUAAGCUGCCAAUAUAUACUGCCAAUAACACUAUGUGCUAUUUGAGAAAUGAAUAGUGUAAGUGCUGUUUCUAUCUUAUUAAAUAAACAAUGAUGCUCCAUAUAUAAUAGAUUUUAAGUGUUCUUUGAAUGGGAUAGAAUAUUGCUCCCUACACAAUUUGAUGAGAUUUCUCAUACCAUCUCUUUCAAUUUAAUU
rnacentral:lncRNA from 1 species